GUCAAGCUACAAAGGGCUCACGGUGGAUACCUUGGCACACAGAGGCGAUGAGGACGGUGUUACCUGGCGAUAAGUCCUCGGGAGCUGAAGCACCGCUUUGAUCCGGAAAUU
rnacentral:rRNA from 1 species